rnacentral:misc_RNA from 1 species
GAAACGCGAUAGUUAAUGUGAAUUGCAGAAUUCAGUGAAUCAUCGAGUCUUUGAACGCACAUUGCGCCCCAUGGUAUUCCGUAGGGCAUGUCUGUUUGAGCGUCAUUACAACACCUCGUUUACAAUUAGUUUUGUGCAACGGUUUUGAGCUCCGAUUUCUUUGCCUAAACAGCAAAUCCGGGCUUUAAAGUUGAACGCUCUGCGGGUCACACUGCCAAACUGUACAUAGUAAAACUUAUUCUGUACCGGUUAGAAAGUGAGGACUUUCCGCCUGAAAACAAACCCACUCUUUAAGGUUUGACCUCAGAUCAGACAAGGAUACCCGCUGAACUUAAGC